rnacentral:rRNA from 1 species
AUAUACGACCGUACCGCAAACCGACACUGGUGCGCGAGAUGAGUAUUCUAAGGCGCUUGAGAGAACUCAGGAGAAGGAACUCGGCAAAUUGACACCGUAACUUCGGAAGAAGGUGUGCCCUAUUAGUGUGUAGUGAACAACGAAGCAUGAAUGGGUUGCAAAAAAUCGGUGGCUGCGACUGUUUAUUAAAAACACAGCACUCUGCAAACACGAAAGUGGACGUAUAGGGUGUGACGCCUGCCCGGUGCUGGAAGAUUAAAUGAUGGGGUGCAAGCUCUUGAUUGAAGUCCCAGUAAACGGCGGCCGUAACAAUAACGGUCCUAAGGUAGCGAAAUUCCUUGUCGGGUAAGUUCCGACCUGCACGAAUGGCGUAACGAUGGCCACACUGUCUCCUCCUGAGACUCAGCGAAGUUGAAAUGUUUGUGAUGAUGCAAUCUCCCCGCGGAAAGACGGAAAGACCCCAUGAACCUUUACUGUAGCUUUGUAUUGGACUUUGAACAGAUCUGUGUAGGAUAGGUGGUAGGCUUUGAAGCAGGGUCGCUAGAUCUUGUGGAGCCAACGUUGAAAUACCACCCUGGUGUGUUUGAGGUUCUAACCUAGGUCCAUUAUCUGGAUCGGGGACAGUGCAUGGUAGGCAGUUUGACUGGGGCGGUCUCCUCCCAAAGCGUAACGGAGGAGUUCGAAGGUACGCUAGUUACGGUCGGACAUCGUGACGAUAGUGCAAUGGCAUAAGCGUGCUUAACUGCGAGACUGACAAGUCGAGCAGAUGCGAAAGCAGGACAUAGUGAUCCGGUGGUUCUGUAUGGAAGGGCCAUCGCUCAACGGAUAAAAGGUACUCUGGGGAUAACAGGCUGAUACCGCCCAAGAGUUCAUAUCGACGGCGGUGUUUGGCACCUCGAUGUCGGCUCAUCUCAUCCUGGGGCUGUAGCCGGUCCCAAGGGUAUGGCUGUUCGCCAUUUAAAGAGGUACGUGAGCUGGGUUUAAAACGUCGUGAGACAGUUUGGUCCCUAUCUUCCGUGGGCGCUGCAGAUUUGAGGAAGCCUGCUCCUAGUACGAGAGGACCGGAGUGGACACACCUCUGGUGUAUCGGUUGUCGCGCCAGUGGCAUUGCCGAGUAGCUAAGUGUGGAAGAGAUAACCGCUGAAAGCAUCUAAGCGGGAAACUCGUUUCAAGAUGAGAUCUGCCGGGGCCUUGAGCCC